GCGCCCAUAGCUCAGCUGGAUAGAGCAACGGACUUCUAAUCCGUAGGUCGCAGGUUCGAAUCCUGCUGGGCGUG
rnacentral:tRNA from 4 species